GUUGACAUCCGAAGAAAAGUUACGACGCUGCUGUGUAGAAAAAGGCGUAUGUUAGGACACAAGUUGAUCCACAUCGCUGAAAAGAAAUUAUUCUGUAGUCAUGGGUCGCAAGCUGAACCUGGCACCACUUAAACAAGAUGAAUGUGAGACUAUUCUUGCGGUCAUACAAAAGGAUUUCGACCUGAGAGAGAGAGAUAAAAAGCGAUUGAGUCAGAUGGAAUUGAGUUUGAAGCAGAAAAUCCA